rnacentral:lncRNA from 1 species
AUAGAUCCGAUCAAAUCAGGAUCAUUUCUUCCUUACUGAUUAGGUCAUCUUAUAACCUAAUUAGACUUAACCUGAUUGAAUCCAAUUCCAUCAAACUUGAUCCAGACUUUAAUGCUCAAUCAAAUUGAGCUAAUUAGUGAUCUAAUUACUAAUUAAUCCUUUAUUAAUGAUAGAGUUCAAGUCUAGUGGGACUCUUCUCUAGAGUCUCCAUCCAAUGGGACUCUUCAGCAGAGUCCCCAUCCAGUGGGACUCCUUCACUAGAGUCCCCAUCCACUGGGACUCUUCAGAUUAGCCAUA